AGCGGCGGACGGGUGAGUAACGCGUGGGAACGUGCCUUCCUCUUCGGAAUAGCCCCGGGAAACUGGGAGUAAUACCGGAUACGCCCGAGAGGGGAAAGAUUUAUCGGGGGGAGAUCGGCCCGCGUUGGAUUAGGUAGUUGGUGGGGUAACGGCCUACCAAGCCGACGAUCCAUAGCUGGUUUGAGAGGAUGAUCAGCCACGCUGGGACUGAGACACGGCCCAGACUCCUACGGGAGGCAGCAGUGGGGAAUCUUGGACAAUGGGGGGAACCCUGAUCCAGCCAUGCCGCGUGAGCGAUGAAGGCCUUCGGGUUGUAAAGCUCUUUCGUGGGGGAAGAUAAUGACUGUACCCCAAGAAGAAGCCCCGGCUAACUCCGUGCCAGCAGCCGCGGUAAUACGGAGGGGGCUAGCGUUGUUCGGAAUUACUGGGCGUAAAGCGCACGUAGGCGGGCUGUUAAGUCGGGGGUGAAAUCCCGGGGCUCAACCCCGGAACUGCCUCCGAUACUGGCGGUCUUGAGUCCGAGAGAGGUGGGUGGAAUUCCUAGUGUAGGAGUGAAAUCCGUAGAUAUUAGGAGGAACAUCAAUGGCGAAGGCAGCUAACUGGGGUACUUCUGACACUGAGGCACGAAAGCGUGGGUAGCAAACAGGAUUAGAUACCCUGGUAGUCCACGCCCUAAACGAUGGGUGCUAGAUGUUGGGG
rnacentral:rRNA from 1 species